UUUCUCUCACUCGUCGACACGUGUCCCACUAGAGGAGGCCUCUCCAACAAUAUCUCUACUCACUAACGUGAAAAUAGGCAGAGAAAUGGAAUUUCUCACGUUUUCCUUUUGGGGGGAUGGAGAUGCAGAGAAGGGAGUAUAGUAUAAUUGUUGCCUCUCCUUGAAUCUUCUUGAUGAUUCUUCUUCAAUAUCAUCACCAAAAAAAACCACCAUAGAAUUUCAACUCUCUCAAAACACAAUCACCACCUCUCCUACCUCAACCAAACCCAUUAACCAUUCUUCCAUCGAUCUCCAUCUUCAAACUCACCUUAGAGCUUCUUGUGUGUCGUGUUGUAGCCGGGGAGGGGGCUUCGAGGGUCACUGUAGUUGAGGCUAGUGUGAAGAUUGCAACUGUGCCAUCUUAGUUUACAUAAGUCAAAUCUCUUGUUGAACGAAAAUCAAAAUUACAGUCAAUAGCAACCUGAAAGGAGUUGUCAAAAUGUUUCACGGCAGAAUUGAAGAAAUUGAAAGAUUGUUGAACUUCAACCUCAUAAUGUUGAGGUAUUGUUAAGUGAAUGGAUGGAAUAUUUCAUAUUGUUUGAAUUCAUGUGGCUCAAUACUUUAAGCAUGUGACCGGUAUUGGAAGCAUGGGGUUGUCGUUCUUUCCGACACAAAAAACUUAGUGACACGGUUACAUAAUGCAACAUCUUAACAUCUCAGCAAUAACACUAACAAUACAAUGUUAGUAACAUUCUAAUAUUGAAUGAUUGUAUGGUGUUGUUUACUAUCUCUAUUGUGCAUUUUAUGCUCGAUUCAAUUAUGGUGUAUAUUUGUGUUGUGUAUAUAUUGGUUAUGUCGCUUCGGUUAAGGUAUACCGAGUUUUUACAGGGUUAUGUUGUGAUUCAAUUUCUAGUUCUAGAAUGAAUGUUUACUUUGGAUCAAUUACAGGGUUACAUGGACUUUUACAGGGUUAUGGUGUAAAUAAUUUUUGUUUGUUGUUUGAACAUAGAAAUAAUGUUUGCUUGUAUAAUUCAUUGUAUGCUCAUGAUGAUUUUUUUCAAUUUGUGUCUUGCGAUUCGAUUAUGAAAUAUUCUUG
rnacentral:lncRNA from 1 species